GGAACUACUCGCUCACAAUCCCCUCACCCGCCUUCCCCGCCAGCAGAAGCCAGGCCUUCUGUUCGUUCCACUUCCCUAACGAGAUGAGAGACUCGAGUGACAUAUUUGCUGUUUGCAGGUAUUGAGGGAAUGGGCCAGCUGUGUGCAAUGAGGAGACCCCCUCUCACCCUGGCCGGCUGCACACACGCCUACGAGGACGGCGCGGAACCCCUCAUUUGCACCCGCACAACUGCUGCGUAGGCUCCGUGGCCCGAACAGAGAAAGAGGCGGGUUGUGCUGCCAUCUGGCGUCCACACGAGAUAUCUCCUAGAAUAUCACAUGCAUGCUUUAAAGCUUCAAGAACCUCCGAAAUUUCCUCUUUUCUAUCACUAAAGGUUUUUAAGUCUAGUAAAUUAAACUUCAGGAAAUAAAAUGAACGCUAAUAAGCUGGCAC
ensembl:lncRNA